rnacentral:rRNA from 1 species
UAACACGUAGGUAAUCUACCUUUGGAUGGGGAAUAACAACCGGAAACGGUUGCUAAUACCGCAUAAUGCAGCGGCACCUAAUGGUGACAGUUGUUAAAGCGGGGGAUCGAAAGACCUCGCGUCUAAAGAGGAGCCUGCGGCGGAUUAGCUAGUUGGUAAGGUAACGGCUUACCAAGGCAACGAUCCGUAGCCGGCCUGAGAGGGCGGUCGGCCACACUGACACUGACAUACGGGUCAG